ensembl:lncRNA novel transcript
GUCGUAAAAGCCUGCUUUCUUGCCGUGAUGGCCGCCGCCGAGGCAGGGAGUUGAGGGUUUCUGCCUUUCGGAGGGUUUGGGGGGCUGUCGGUCCCGUUAGAAGGCCACCAACAGCCCCCCAGGUUGCCAAGGGCCUGUUAGUUGUGUUCCUGGAAGGUGGGCAAGCAGCCUGAUGGGUUAACAUUGGGAUUUGCCGUCGUUAUAGCGGUCAAGGGGCCUGUAGCGGCUGCAGGGUCGGUGAGGGUUCCCAGCCGGCCGGACCUUGGUCGUCUGGCAUUCUGCCUUUGAAAUAUCUGGGUGGCCGGCGCCUAGGCAUAUGGGGUUGUGCUUUCUGUGUUGUGGUUUGUAGCUUGCAUCCUCCACUGUUCUUAGCGCAUUUGGCUCUGUCCAUAUGGCUGUUGGUACUCAUGGCCCUAUUUGGGGUUGGACUGGGCUCUUUUUCUUGGGUCUGGUGGGAUUUAAGCAAGAACUGGAAUUUUGUAAGAUGUACAGCAGUGUCCUGGGUGUUGUCUGUCUGGUGUGGGGUGUGAGCAGUUGCAGGAGUUAUGAACGUGUCCAUGAUCGUGUGGUUGGCUUUCCCUUGCAUGUGGUGAACUUUCCCCUCGUUUGCUAAUGCUGAAAGGCAGUGUCAGGCAGUUCCUACUUGUGAAAUGCCUUCUUAUUAACUUGGAUGUGUUCCUAAAUCUUGGGAGCUUUGCAAUUGCUUGUAGAAAGAUAUGUGUGCAAAACUGAAUUUAAAACGAGCACCAGGGUUGCAGGUACCUUUAGUUCUAGGGAGCCAGCUCCCCCAGGCUUCCCUGGUGCUGUGAAGUUGUUUGAGUUUAUUUAUGGAAAUUAGGUUUGCUUUGAGCUGUGUUACCUUACUCUUGGCUCAGAGUUUCUCUGCAUGUUGGGACCCUGAUCUUUGAUAUUGGGUACUGUUUCAACAUUUGAGGCUAAAUGAAGCACCGUGUACUGAUGUGUAAUGUCGUGUAUCACAAUCUCAGGAUAACACUAGAUAGCCAAGAAUGGCAGUACCUGUUUUGUCUGUCUACACGAAUUGGACCUCAUUGUUUCUGCCACAAUGUACUGCUCCAUAAAUUCCGCCUUAUUUCCAUGGUAUUGUCUGUAAGUUUUGAAAUCUAACUGGUCAUGAAAAGCCAUUUUUCAGGCAGUAUUUAAAAGCUUUUUCCCACAAGUAGAACUGGUAUCUAAAACAUUUUUUCAUUCAAGUUUGGUAAGGUGGGAGAUUUGAAAUAAGGUACAACAGUGGUUUUGGAAAUCAGCUAUCAAGUUUUAGUUUUAGGGGCCACCACGUGACAGAAAUGAUUUAUAGAGAGAGUAAAAAUUGUAUUCCAUUUCUCUUGGUAUUUUAGUGCAUAUAAAAACUAAAUAAACCACUUUCAUAUAUCAUUAAAAAGCCCUUUGUGUCUUGUGAUGAAUGAGGUUUUUAUAACUCCCCUAUUGUCUGGGUUUGCUUAGAAUAUAGUAAUGGGGCCGGGCAUGGUGGCUCACGCCUGUAAUCCCAACACUUAGGGAGGCCAAGGCCAGGGGAUCACUUGAGGUCAGGAGUUUGAGACCAGCCUGGCCAACAUGGUGAAACCCCAUCUCUACUAAAAAUACAAAAAACUUAGCUGGGUGUGGUGGCAUACGCCUAUAAUCUCAGCUACUCAGAAGGCUGAGGUGGGAGAAUCACUUGAACCCAGGAGGUGGAGAUAUCAGUGAACGGAGAUUGUGCCACUGCACUCCAGCCUGGGCAACAGAGUGAGACCCUGUCUCAAAAAAAAAAAAAAAAUUAGCUGGGUGUUGUGGCAGGUGCCUGUAGUCCGGCUACUCUGGAGGCUGAGGCAGGAGAAUCGGCUUGAACCUGGGAGGUGGAGGCGGCAGUGAGCCAAGAUCACUUCACUGUACUCCACCCCUCCAACCUGGGCAACAGAGUGAGACUGCAUCUCAAAAAAUAUAUGUAUAGUAAUGGUAGAGAAAGCAGCAAAGCUGGCUGGGUAUGUACAUGUGAUUCUGUUGAAACUGAUUUCAGGUAUGGAUUGAUAGGCUAAUAUUGUUGGGUUGCUAGUCAGAUCUCAGGAAAGUAUUUCCUUCCCUCUAACCUGACCUAAGUGUGUCUUAGAAUGUUAACUAACUUGACAAUUGAAUAAAAAAGAUUGAGAAAUUU